AGCUGCCUCAAAAUCACCUGAUUGAUAUUCUCGAUGUGCCAACUCAGCUAACCCUUGGAAGGAAAGCAUACGUUUCGUUGGUUCUGUGCUGUCGGCCACGUUGCCCACAGAAGACGCCAUCUGGAGCUUCUGGAGAGAGUGAGAAAAGGGGAUACUGGCACCAAACUUUCAAACAAUAAGAACCUUCCCAUAAGUCCCUUGCCAGGCAAGAUUAAGGUAUAACAAUCCAAACAGAUUUUAGAAGAAGAUAACUGGUUGAAAGCACAGGAAAAGAGCUGGGUUGCUCUUUUUCAACAGUCACAUAAUGAGUAAUGUGGGAAUUGGUUUACAAAGUCUCUCUCCAUGAGGGGCUAAGGUUAAGAUUAGAACUUCUGAGGCCAGAAGAGCAAAAUAACUACAACAACACACAUAUUUUCAAGAGCCGCCCUUUGGAUGUGAGGGAUUGAUUUUUCCCACGCUUUCUUCAGCAACCCAACUGGUGUCUUUAGUAAAUGACAUAAGAGAAUACAGUGUGGCCAAGAAGGCUUAGAUUUCCUUAGCCCCAAGUCAGAUAUUCUCAAGUGACUGUCCACUCAAAUUAAAAAGAGAAAUUUACAAGAGGAAACUGGAUACAACUGAGUGUACUUUUAUUUCAACCCUUUACCUGAAUGUUUUGUUUUGAUUUCAGUUCUCCACUGAAGUUGUCUACAUUAAUAUAUUUUUAAGAACAUUUCCUUAAGUUGAAGUAUUCAUUCAGUAUAUUCAUUUACUAUAAUUGAGAAAAGCCAAAUGACUUAGGCAAAUUCAUUUCUAUAUUGCCACAGCAGUGUAUUGUGAACUAAAUGACACCUGGCAGUUGUUUACUCAGAUACUAACUCAGUUAGAAGGCAGAACAAGGAUACCUACCCAUUCAGGGAAGGAAAGGUCACCUAGCCUCUGUAGCUGUCUUAGGUCUCUUAUCAUCACAGUAACAAACUGAAGCCUAAAAACCAUACGAUCAUCUCAAUAGAUGCAGAAAAAGCUUUUGAAAAAAUUCAAUAUCCAUUCAUGGUAAAAACUCUCCAGAAAGUGGGCAUAGAGGGAACAUACCUCAACAUAAUAAAGGCCAUAUAUGACAAGCCCAUAGCUAACAUACUCAAUGGUGAAAAGCUGAAAGCAUUUCCCCUAAGAUCAGGAACAAGACAAGGAUGCCCACUCUCACCACUUUUAUUGAACAGAGUUUUGGAAGUCCUAGCCACAGCAAUCAGACAAGAAAAAAUAAAUAAAUAAAAGGACUCCAAAAUGGAAAGGAAAAAGUAAAACUGUCACUGUUUGCAGAUGGCAUGAUACAUAGAAAAUCUGAAAGACACCAUCAAAAAACUAUUCGAGCUCAAACAUGAACUUGGUAAAUUUGCAGGAUACAACAGAUUUCUAUAUAUAAAUUUUGUAUUUCUAUACACUCACAGUGAACUAUCAGAAAGAGAAAUUAAGGAAACAAUCCCAUUUACAAUUGCAUAAAAAAGAAUAAAAUACAUAAGAAUAAACCUGCCUAAGGAGGUAAAAGACCUGUACCCAGGAAACUAUAUGACACUCAUAAAAGAAAUGAAAGAUGACACAAACAGCUGGAAAGAUAUACCAUGGUCACGGAUUGGAAGAAUUAAUAUUGUUAAAAUGACCAUCAUACCCAAGGAAAUCUACGCAUUCAAUGCAGUCUGUAUCAACAUAUCAAGGGCAUUUUCCACAGACCUAGAACAAAUAAUUUUAAAGUUUGUAUGGAAACACAAAAGAUCCUGAAUAGCUAAAACAGUCUUGAGAAAGAAGAACACAACUGGAGGAAUCAUGCUCCCUGGCUUCAGACUGUGCUACAAACCUACAGUAAUCAAAACAGUAUGGUACCGGCACAAAAACAUCCAUCACUGCAACAGAAUAGAGAGCCCAGAAAGAAACCCAUGCACUUAUGGUCAAUGAAUCUAUGACAAAGGAGGCAAGAAUAUGCAAUGGAGAAAAGUCUGGGCUUCCUUAGGGAUGGUUUCAUCAAUUAAUUUGUUUUCUUAAAUGGACCAUACUUUUCCAUGUCUUUGUAUACCUUGUGAGUUUUUUGGUUGAACAUUUGGCUUUCAAAUAUUGUAAUGUGGUGUCUAUGGAAAUCAGAUUCUCCCACUUUCCCAGGGUUUUCUGGGCUUUUGAUUUUUGAAGGCUGUAGUAGUCUGUUUGUUUAGGGACCUUUCCAAACUAGUUUUGCAAUGAGUGUACUCCUUAUCGUAUGUAGGCACUGAAGUCUCUGUUCCUUUAGUUCAUGUUUAGCUAAUGUUUUGACAGAGAUGUCCUUGAAUUCCUGCACCUAAGACAAACAAAAACAAAUAUACACAAGCACAUCCACAUGCACACUCAAAACCACACACCUCUCCCCAUUGUGCAGAUUGCUGGAUCACUCCUUCAACAUUUAGCUGACCUGCACUGAGUUCAGGGCUCAGCCCAUGGUAAAAGCUUAGAGACUCCUCUGGUGUUUUCAGAACAUGCAUCUUAUCUUGAGUAUGCAUGUGGCUUUCUUAAUUUCUCUGGACACAUGUGUACUUUUUGUAUGUUCUAAGUUCCCAAAGAAUCUCCCCCAACUUUUGCUCCUGCAUCUUAUGUGGUCUAUUGUAUUUCAAUGCACAGUCUUCUGCCCCAGCCAUCUGUGCUUUGUCAGUUCACCUUGCACUUUUUUUGAGCAAUGACCGCUGCUUUUCCAGACUGUGUUCCAGGUUAGCUAAGACAGAGAUAAGCAUCUUGUGUCAGUCCUUCAGGUAGCUCCCAGACAGGUUAGAACAGAUACACAUAAUAAUCCGAGAGUAUGGGCUCUUCUGCUCCCUCCUGAAGCAGGAUUGAGGGCCCCAUACUACGAAUGGUCUGCUGCUACUUUAAGACUAUCACUGCAUUAAGACCCCACCACUUUAAGACCAUCACUACACUAACAGUAGAUGGGGCAAGGGCAAGUAAAAAUGCCACAAAGCUUUCCUGCCAUUUUCAAAUUGCCUCUUCCCUGGUUCAGUAUGUGUUUGGUUGCUGUAAAUCUUUGCCUGAUUUCAGGACUAAGAGAAACUCAAGGAACGCCACAACAAGAAACAGUAUAAUCAGACUCUCAGAUGCCAAAAGACAGAGAAAGAAUCUUUACUCCCAAAGGAGAAAGAAAAAACAAAUUUGUUACAAAGCAGGGAUCCUCAAAAAGAUUCAUAGCUAAUUUCCUAUCUGAAACCAUGGAGGCAAGAGGCCAGACAUAUUUAAAGUGCUGAAAGAAAAAAACUGUCCACCAAGAAUUCUAUAUUUGGCCAAACUGGUUUCAAAACUUAGGGAGAAAUUAACACAUUCCCAGAUGAACAAAGGCUGAGGGCGUUUGUUUUACAACUUCCUAACACUGCCCUAUGACAAAUGCUAAAUUGAACCUUCAGGUUGAAAUGAAAGGACACUAGCCAGCAACUCGAAGCUGUAUAAAGAAAUAGAAAUCUCCAGUAAAGAUAAAUAUAUGGGCAGAUACUAAAGCCAGUAUUGUGCUACUGGCUUGUAACUCUACUUUUUAUUUCUUACAUGAUUGAAAAAACAAAUGCAUAAAAUAAUCAUAAAUCCAUGUUAUUGGGCUCACAAAGUAUAAAGGUGUAAUUUGUGACAACAAUAAUUUAAGGAGGAGGAAUGGAACUGUAGAGGAACAGAGUUUCUGUGUGCUAUUGAAGUUGGUUUCAAUUCAAAUGAUAUUGGUUGAACUUUAGAAGGGUGAAUGUAAUCUUCUUGAUAACCACAAAGAAAAUAUCAAUAGACUAUAUGCAAAAAGAAAUGAAAAAGGAAUCAAGAGUUCACUACAACAAAAUCGGCUAAGCACAGAAGAAGUCAGUAAUGGAGUAAAUGAAGGGCAAAAAUGCAUAAGACAUACAGAAAACAACCAGGAAACAGACAGAAUUAAGUUCUUCCUCAUCAGUAAUUUUUGAAAAAGUAAGUGGAUUAAGCUCUCCAAUAAAAAGAUAAAUAUUGGCAGAAUGGACUUUAAAAACAUCCAUAAUCCAAGUAUAUGCUGCCCGCAAAAAACUCACUUGAUUUCAAGAGACACAAGUUAGUUGAAAGUUAAAGCACAGAAUAAAAUAUCCCAUGCAAAUAGUAACAAAAAGAAAGAAAGAGAGAGAGAGAAAAAGAAAGGAAGGAAGGAAGAUAGAUCUGGGAUGGCUACGUUAAUAUCACACAAAAUAAACUUUAAAUCAAAAACUAUCACAAGAGGAAAAGGAGGCCACUAUAUGUUGAUAACAAGUUCAAUCUAUCAAGAAGAUAUAACAACUAUAAACAUAUAUGUACCAAACAAUCCCCAAAUAUGUGAAGCAGACAUUGACAGAAUUGAAGGAAGAAAUAGAUAGUUCUAAAAUCAUAGUUGGAGAUCAAUACCUUGCUUUCAAUAAUGGAUAACACAUCUAGACAGAAGAUCAGUAGAGAGGUAGGGGGACUGAAUAACACAUUUAACCAACUAAACCUAACAGCCAUAUAUAGAUCACUCCACUCAACAACAGCAGAAUACACAUUUUUCUCAAGUACACAUGGAACAUUCUCCAGGAAAGACCAUAUGUUACGCCACAAUACAAGUACCAAUACAUUGUUAAGAAACUGAAAUCAUACAAAGUAUCUUCUUUAGCCACAGUGAAAGGAAGGUAGAAAUCAAUAACAGAACCAUUGGUAGCCAUUUCCCAUCAUGCCUGCCACACAUGAUAUAAAGCAAUGAAGGGAAAAACAUAAUUGACCAUUUAGAAAAGUGGGAAAGAGGACAUAUCAUUGACACAGAGUGUGUGCUGUUUCCCGUUGUCAGAGAUAGAAAUAAAUUAGCAUCAUUUAUUCAUUAGUGUGUUAAUUUCUUGGUCAAUCAUUGCGCAGCCAGUGUUUCUGCCUGAUGGGAAGAUUUCCUAUACUCAGUGUUGAGUGGAGACAACCUUGAAAGGGACAUUUAAAAGGAUUAUACUGUGAUGGGCUUAGCAGUACCCUUCCUCCUAUGCCAGUAGGCGGCUGGGGUAUUUCCAUGCAGUGUGUACAACCGUAGGCCCCAGGUCACCAGAAUUUAGUUGGAUUCGUUUUGUUAAUACAUUCCCUCAGUACUUUGUCUUUUAUUUGACUGGUGCAUUUACUUCAUUCUUUAUUAUCACUGCGAAACAACUUUGUUUCCUGUUCAGAUGCCAAAAAGUGGAUAUCAAUACCUCCUGAGUUUUACACAUCACAGGUCUGUUUUACAUAUCAGAGACAGAGACAGCAACUAUUUCCAAUGACUUUGAGACAUGCUUUGAAAAUGUGAUUAACACGUGGAGUGUUGAAAUGUGUGUCGAGCUCAUUAUACUUGCUCUAAAAGGUUUCAAACUGCAAAGAUUUAAAAAUCUUUAUCUUUGAAUAGUUUUCCUGUGCUGUCCCUUUGUGUCAGACUGUUAAUGUGCAGUCUGGCACCUUCAAAUAACAUGGCUUUGUAACCAAUUAUUUACAUGUUGUUUUAUCCACAGAGAAUCUUUUUUUUAAUAAAUUUAUUUAUUUUUGGCUGUGUUGGGUCUUUGUUGCUGCACAUGGGCUUUCUCUAGUUGGGGCGAGUGGGGGCUACUCUACAUUGUGGUGUGCGGGCUCCUCAUUGCUGUGGCUUCUCUCGUUGCGGAGCACGGGCUCUAGGCGCUAGGGUUUCAGUAGUUGUGGCACGCGGGCUUCAGUAGUUGUGGCUCAGUGGCCCUAGAGCACAGGCUCAGUAGUUGUGGCGCACGGGCUUAGUUGCUCCGCGGCAUGUGGGAUCUUCCCAGACCAGGGCCCGAACCCAUGUCCCCUACACUGGCAGGAGGAUUCCCAACCACUGUGCCACCAGGGAAGUCCCCA